GACCGUCAAUUCAUUUGAGUUUUAACCUUGCGGCCGUAGUCCCCAGGCGGUAGACUUACCGCGUUCGCUCCGGCACCGAUGGCUUUUACCCCACCAACACCAAGUCUACAUCGUUUACAGCUAGGACUACCGGGGUGUCUAAUCCCGUUCGCUCCCCUAGCUUUCGCUCCUCAGCGUCAGGCACGGCCCAGGAGGCCGCCUUCGCCUCUGGUGUUCCUCCCGAUAUCUACGCAUUUCACCACUACACCGGGAAUUCCACCUCCCUCUGCCGCCCUCUAGUUGGGUAGUUUUGUACGUCCUCUCCCAGUUGAGCCGGAAGCUUUCACAUCCAACUUGCCCAACCGCCUGCUCGCUCUUUACGCCCAGUGAAUUCGGAUAACGCUCGGUUCCUACGUUUUAC
rnacentral:misc_RNA from 1 species